UAUUAAUGAAAAUGACCGUCGCACGAUCAAUGAAAGCCCGCGUACAGGCGCACAUGUAUGCGCGCGUUGCGUAUUUCAUUCAAGUUCGUUCAACGCUCUUAAGGGCCUUGCUGGAAGCGUGUCAUAAACCGGGGGCGAGAAGAGAGAGAAUUGCCAUUUAUAAUAAAAUUGCUCCAAGUCCUCACGUUCAAUUUAUAUCUGUAAAAACUCGCUGCCACGUACUGUUACGGGAGCAGUGCUUAAGGGAUUUCAGAAUUUUGCAAAACGCCUUUUAUCUAGGUAAUGCAACAUACGUGUCACAAUUAUAGUACUUGAGUAACAUUGGGUAAUCAAUACGCUUGCGUUAGUAUCAAAUAUAUAUGUAAAAUAUUAAUAUAUAAUACGUAUAGAAUAUGUUAACAAAAGUUGUACGAAAUAUAAUGUAAUUAAUAUUAAUAUAAAGCAAUAAUAGUAAUUGUGGCACUCGAAUUAUAAAAUAUAUAAAACAAACAUAAAUUCCUUUGUAUUUUAAAAUUAAAAUAAGAAACACAAGUCGUAUUAUCACAAUCUUAAAUAUAGAAUUCUUAAAUAUUAUAAAGUAUUCUUUUAGGUUUACGAUACAUAAAAGUUUUAAUUUAUUAUAACGAAAUAAUAGAUAAAUAUAUUUUUAUUUCUAUUAACUUGACUCAGAGAUUCUAGUCUGUCACAUAAAUUUCUGUCUGAACUUGCGAUAUAUGAUGACAACCGCAAUGCGGUUCUUCACAACGACUGCUUAUUUCUGAUUAACCGCUUGAUUAUACAAUGAUUUAAAAAUAAAUUUAAUGCCAUCGAUUGUCAAAAAGAUAUUUUAUAACUACUUCUACGAAUUAAGAAGUUAUUAAAACAAGACUUUAAACGUUUUAACAAGAUAUGCAUAUAUCUGUCUACUUUAUAUAAUAAUGUCGACGACGACUAUCGCAAUGAUUUAUACUGGAAAUCUUCUUAAGUAAUACGUGACCACGACUAAUUGUUGUUCAUUAUUACCAUUUCCGAAGUAGUUUUGCUGCGUACUCAUAAAUUACAUUCCGUUUUGAACGGUCUUGAUUAAAAAAGUUAUAACUGCGCGUGUAAAAUCUCUGUGCAAUAUACAAAUAACGCAAAACUUAAAGCGAUAAAAAGUUUUCUACUAUGCAGAACAUAAUUUUUGUAUCACCCUAUCUGUAAUAUCUAUGAAAAAUUAAUAGGUAAGAAAAAUUAGAAUGUAUACGUAAUUACUGAUUGCUUUUUACAGUCGGAUUAACGCUAACGCUGUCGCUUUGUUUCGUAAUGCCAAAUGGCUUGUUUAAUCGAGACUGCAGUUUUUACCAACGUUUGAAGAGUGGUAACAUCUAUUACGUAUACAAUGCCGAUUAUCCUAAUGCUUCCAACGGCCGACAAUAUUGCAAGUGGAAAGCGGAGAGCGAUUAUCGUGUGAAAUUAUCGUGCAAUAUCUUCGAGAUACCUUGGCACGUCAAAUGUGCUUUUGACAGCCUGACUGUCAAAGUAGAUGAAUCCGUGGCAUUUUCUUACUGCGGCAACGAUACGUUUAGCGUAGAAUCGACGGGAAAGACCAUGACCAUUGUGUUGUCAACCGCAUUUUGGUCAUCGGGAGUUAAGUUCCUGUGCGAGUUGCAAGCACUCGAAGAAGUAGAGAAGGAUUAUAACUGCAGAUGCGGAUGGAAGAAGCCGACGAAGAUUGUGGGAGGUGUGGAAACUGGCGUAAAUGAGUAUCCCAUGAUGGCUGGUCUUGUCGAUCCUUUUCGAAGGGAGGUGUAUUGCGGAGCAUCCGUCAUAUCUCAAAGACACGUGUUAACUGCUGCACACUGUGUGAUCAACAGAGACGCAAAUAAAGUAGGCGUGCUCGUGGGAGAUCAUGAUCUUACUACGGGUGCAGAUACAAAUGCGUCACGCCUCUACGUCGCAGACGAAUUUAAUAUACAUCCUCUUUAUAACGACACGUCUCUAGAAAAUGACAUAGCUGUAGUAACAGUGAAUGGCAUUAUAAACUUUAGCGAAGAAGUUGGACCAGCUUGUCUUCCGUUCCAACAUCAGUCCGACUCUUUCGCAGGAAAUUACGUGGACUUAUUGGGUUGGGGAACGACAGAAUUCGGAGGGAUGAGACCGGAUACUUUACAAAAAGUUAUGGUGAGCGUAAUCUCAUACCAAGAUUGUCAUCGCUCGUAUCCGAAUUUGUCAUAUGGCCAACUGUGUACUUAUGGCAGAAAUAAAGACGCCUGUCAGGUGACACUGCUUUUUGACAGCGGUGGUCCCGUACUGUGGCAGAAUCCUACGACGAAGCGGGAGGUUCUCGUAGGUAUCAUCAGUUACGGACUUGCUUGCGGCGAUGAUGAUCCAGCGGUCAACACGCGUGUCGGCACUUAUAUCGAUUGGAUUUUAGAUGCAACACCGGGUGCGUAUUACUGCAAAGCCGAAUAGUCUGCUAAAAUAUUAUUUAUAAUUUAUUGUUUGAAAAUUUAUGUUUUUUUUAGAGAUGUUGCUUAUAAUAUAUUAUAAUACGUUAUUUAUAAUAUAUUUAUAUAAAUUAUUAUAUAAUUAUUACCUUUUGUAUUUUUAUAUGGUCUCGAAGCUACUUAUAGAUCUAGACUUCUUCAAGAUUUAUCAUAAAUGUGCAUUUAAUAUGCACACUUUAUAAUUCAUGGAUUGAAAUAUUGAGAUAUCUGAUCUACCUUCAACAUUACCUAAAAUACAUUUCAUCUAAUCAACUUUAAUCAAAAUGUCACUAUCAAUAUCCUCAAACUUAGAUUGUGUUACAUAUUUAAUAAAUCUCGAAUAGAUUUAUAGAGUUGCGGAGAACAAUUUAGAUUGUCCUUAAUAGCGAUUUAUGUGAUGUAAAAGAAUCAACAUUGACGGUUCGUAAACAAUGUCUCAUUAAUAAUAACUUCUUGAAUGAGGAUGUGACGUGAGACCGUCUAUGGGAGGGAAUCUAUGGUAAGCGUCCACUUACACUGACCAAUAUGAUACUGCAUUAGCUUGCUCGCCAUGGUGCGUACGUACUGAAGAUUUAUAUCAUGCGCUUAUUACGUGAAAGAGACGCAGAAAUAAAAUAUAUAAUAUGAAUAGAAUAUUUCACUUAAUGAGAUUGUUAUUCGCUAAUGCAAAACUAAUGCGAACGUGUCGGUUCCUUGUUGAAAUGAAAGUCAAUUUGUGUAGAUAACUACUCAUCCAUUAUUUAAAUUAGGACGAGUAAUAUUUUCUUUUAUAUAUUUUCUAUGUAUAUCAAGAAAUCAAUUUAUCAAUUUAGUUAUACUACUAUAAUAAAACUAAUAUCAUGUCAAGUAUAUCGAAUCAGAUAUUCAGCAAAUAUAUAUCAGUUAAUAGUUUCGUUCACGACAUACGUUUAUUAAACAAAUUGAUUUCUUCGAUAUGCACGGUGAUAUAUCCUUGACAUAGUUGUUGACCCAAUGACAAUAAAUGCGCAAAUAGGCUUUCCAUCACGAAGGAUCACUCUAUAAUAUGACAAAUUUUUGCGAAGAAACAUAUGUAUUUUUCUUAUAUAGAAAAAAUCUGCAUUUUAUAUAAUAAUUUUCAAUCAAACGAAUUAUUUACGAUUUGAUAAACUACUGACAGAAGAUGAAGAUCUAUUUUAUAAUAAAUACUGAUCGAUCCAACUUUUGCAUAUUUAUAAAAAUAUGAGAAAUCAAAAACUGUUUUAACAAAUACUUUUAUCUUUUAUAAAAAAGAUGUGCGAUAUGAAAUUAAAAUAUCACGUAUCCAACAUCAAAUACUAAGUGUUUCGUCGUGAGAACUACGACGAGCGUGCCUGUCACUGGUUUGAAGGGUUCGCAUAAUCCGCAUCUGUUCCCAAGGGACGUGUGGUGCCAUUCAGAAUAAUAGUACAAAAAUUCUUUGGAGCGGUGCGCAGAAAGAAAUUGAAUGAGCAUUGUAAGGACAAGGUGAUUAUCUAGACUUGUAUAACCACUUCCGUGCGCGAGAGGUAGUAAAGGUGUAAGCGCAGGUACGCAUUCUACGUCUCUGUACACUGUGCGUAGAAGAUGUAUAAUAAAAAAUCGAACGCGCGGAUCUAUUCAUUGUAGAUUUUCCACGCACUUCCGACAGCAGUAAAGUUGAAAUUGGACUUUUAUAAAAAGGAAAAGAAAACAAGCUUGCACCUAUGUACACCUACCGUGCAUCAUGUGUUCACCGCAUUUAACAUAGUGCAUUGUACAGCAAGGACAUGCAUCGUUCAUUGCGUGCACGCGUUGUUAUGCAUUGUAUAAUGCUGUUCCAGUCUUUUUUCUAUUGGGCAUUCGAAUCGUCAUCUCUAGCGAGUGCGCACAAAGUCUGUACGUGAUAUCCCUGUCCGUACAUAAUUGCCAGUACAAAGAUCCAGCACGUAUUACUAGGAGAAGCAACAUUCCUUUGCCAAUACAAUGGCCAACGAACUGCAACACAUGUGUUCGAACUGAUACUGAUUUAUAUCCGUAAAAUUGCUUUCAAGGUUUGCGCGAUAUUACGCAACCUCGUAACAGCGGCACAUUAUAAUCAAUCCAGAAAUGAUUUUGGCGAUACAGUCCUUUACGAGGUCAAAGUUCGCUGGCUACUAUGGAGAUGAAGAACGUUAUCAGAGUUGCUCAACAUACUGUAAGUAUAUGCGCGAGCGCUAUUCCAUGCAAAUCAGGUAAACGAUGAUAUACGAGCGAUGAAUAGCGAAGAACGCGGGAACAAGGUCGAAAGGUUACGCGACUGGUUACGUAACUACCGAUUGACCCGCUCUUUAUAUGUGAAUAUUAUGUGUGCGUGUGUUGAAUGUGUUCAGACGCGGGUCCCGCGGAACGUUACGUCUUCGGGAGAUAGUCUAGUAGCUAUAGCGCCAACUGACGUCAUGGGGUGAUCGCUACCGCCUUUAAUCAACGACGACAAGCUCGCCAAGAACCUGAGGAAGAAAUAGGCAGGAUGAUAGAGAUUAAUG
rnacentral:misc_RNA from 1 species